rnacentral:rRNA from 1 species
UACGGAGGGGGCUAGCGUUAUUCGGAUUCACUGGGCGUAAAGGGUGCGCAGGUGGCUUUGUGUGUCAGGUGUGAAAUCCCGGGGCUUAACCCCGGAACUGCGCCUGAAACUGCAAAGCUAGAGCAUUGGAGAGGGAAGUGGAAUUCACGGUGUAGCAGUGAAAUGCGUAGAUAUCGUGAGGAACACCAGAGGCGAAGGCGACUUCCUGGACAAUUGCUGACACUCAGGCACGAAAGCAUGGGGAGCAAAAGGG